rnacentral:rRNA from 1 species
AGUGAACGCUGGCGGUAGGCCUAACACAUGCAAGUCGAACGGCAGCACAGUAAGAGCUUGCUCUUACGGGUGGCGAGUGGCGGACGGGUGAGGAAUACAUCGGCAUCUACUUUUUCGUGGGGGAUAACGUAGGGAAACUUACGCUAAUACCGCAUACGACCUACGGGUGAAAGUAGGGGAUCUUCGGACCUUGCGCGAUUGAAUGAGCCGAUGUCGGAUUAGCUAGUUGGCGGGGUAAAGGCCCACCAAGGCGACGAUCCGUAGCUGGUCUGAGAGGAUGAUCAGCCACACUGGAACUGAGACACGGUCCAGACUCCUACGGGAGGCAGCAGUAGGGAAUAUUGGACAAUGGGCGCAAGCCUGAUCCAGCCAUACCGCGUGAGUGAAGAAGGCCUUCGGGUUGUAAAGCCCUUUUGUUGGGAAAGAAAAGCAGCAGGUUAAUACCCCGCUGUUCUGACGGUACCCAAAGAAUAAGCACCGGCUAACUUCGUG